GACGAACGCUGGCGGCGUGCCUAAUACAUGCAAGUAGAACGCUGAAGAGAGGAACUUGCUCUUCUUGGAUGAGUUGCGAACGGGUGAGUAACGCGUAGGUAACCUGCCUUGUAGCGGGGGAUAACUAUUGGAAACGAUAGCUAAUACCGCAUAACAAUGGAUGACACAUGUCAUUUAUUUGAAAGGGGCAAUUGCUCCACUACAAGAUGGACCUGCGUUGUAUUAGCUAGUAGGUGAGGUAACGGCUCACCUAGGCGACGAUACAUAGCCGACCUGAGAGGGUGAUCGGCCACACUGGGACUGAGACACGGCCCAGACUCCUACGGGAGGCAGCAGUAGGGAAUCUUCGGCAAUGGGGGCAACCCUGACCGAGCAACGCCGCGUGAGUGAAGAAGGUUUUCGGAUCGUAAAGCUCUGUUGUAAGUCAAGAACGAGUGUGAGAGUGGAAAGUUCACACUGUGACGGUAGCUUACCAGAAAGGGACGGCUAACUACGUGCCAGCAGCCGCGGUAAUACGUAGGUCCCGAGCGUUGUCCGGAUUUAUUGGGCGUAAAGCGAGCGCAGGCGGUUUGAUAAGUCUGAAGUUAAAGGCUGUGGCUCAACCAUAGUUCGCUUUGGAAACUGUCAAACUUGAGUGCAGAAGGGGAGAGUGGAAUUCCAUGUGUAGCGGUGAAAUGCGUAGAUAUAUGGAGGAACACCGGUGGCGAAAGCGGCUCUCUGGUCUGUAACUGACGCUGAGGCUCGAAAGCGUGGGGAGCGAACAGGAUUAGAUACCCUGGUAGUCCACGCCGUAAACGAUGAGUGCUAGGUGUUGGAUCCUUUCCGGGAUUCAGUGCCGCAGCUAACGCAUUAAGCACUCCGCCUGGGGAGUACGACCGCAAGGUUGAAACUCAAAGGAAUUGACGGGGGCCCGCACAAGCGGUGGAGCAUGUGGUUUAAUUCGAAGCAACGCGAAGAACCUUACCAGGUCUUGACAUCCCGAUGCUAUUUCUAGAGAUAGAAAGUUACUUCGGUACAUCGGUGACAGGUGGUGCAUGGUUGUCGUCAGCUCGUGUCGUGAGAUGUUGGGUUAAGUCCCGCAACGAGCGCAACCCCUAUUGUUAGUUGCCAUCAUUCAGUUGGGCACUCUAGCGAGACUGCCGGUAAUAAACCGGAGGAAGGUGGGGAUGACGUCAAAUCAUCAUGCCCCUUAUGACCUGGGCUACACACGUGCUACAAUGGUUGGUACAACGAGUUGCGAGUCGGUGACGGCAAGCUAAUCUCUUAAAGCCAAUCUCAGUUCGGAUUGUAGGCUGCAACUCGCCUACAUGAAGUCGGAAUCGCUAAUAAUCGCGGAUCAGCACGCCGCGGUGAAUACGUUCCCGGGCCU
rnacentral:rRNA from 1 species